rnacentral:sRNA from 1 species
UUGGCAGCCCUGGAGACUGAUGUCCUAAUUAUCCUCAGAACAGGUGCACAUGGGCAUUUUCCUGCCAAUGUGACUCAGCGUAGAGGGAGAGAGCCCAAUUCUCAAAUUAGAUGGUAGAGUUCAGUAUAAAGCUUUCUACUGACACAGCCACC